AGUGAACGCUGGCGGCAUGCCUAACACAUGCCAGUCGAACGGCAGCACGGUUGCUUGCUGCUGUUGGCGAGUGGCGGACGGGUGAGUAAUACGUAGGCACCUGUCCCUUGGUUUGGGUUAGCGCUGAGGAAGCCGGAUUUAUACCACAAACGCACUACGGCUGAGAGGGUGGGGACUUGGUGUUUCGAGCUUUCGGGGUUGCAGAUGUCGAAUUAGCUAGUGGUGGGGGGCAAGGCCUACCAAGACGACGAUCAGUAUCUGGUCUGAGAGGGAGAGCAGCCACACUGGAACUGAGACACGGUCCAGACUCCUACGGGAGGCAGCAGUGGGGAAUUUUGGACAAUGGGCGAAAGCCUGAUCCAGCAAUGCCGCGUGUGUGAAGAAGGCCUUCGGGUUGUAAAGCCCUUUUGUCCGGAAAGAAAAGCUUGCGCCUAAUACGGUCGGGGUCUGACGGUACCGGAAGAAUAAGCACCGGCUAACUACGUG
rnacentral:rRNA from 1 species